rnacentral:rRNA from 1 species
CAGUAGCCGCGGGAAUACGAAGGGUGCAAGCGUUACUCGGAAUUACUGGGCGUAAAGCGUGCGUAGGUGGUGGUUUAAAUCCGUUGUGAAAGCCCUGGGCUCAACCUGGGAAUUGCAGUGGAUACUGGGUAACUAGAGUGUGGUAGAGGAUAGUGGAAUUGCCGGUGUAGCAGUGAAAUGCGUAGAGAUCGGAAGGAACAUCUGUGGCGAAGGCGACUAUCUGGGCCAACACUGACACUGAGGCACGAAAGCGUGGGGAGCAAACAGGAUUAGAUACCCCAGUAGUCCCUGUCUCUUAUAA